GGCAGAGUGUAGCCUAGUGGUAAAGUGCUGGACCAUCAAUCGGGAGGUCGUGGGUUCGAACCCCACCACGGUCA
rnacentral:tRNA from 1 species